rnacentral:rRNA from 1 species
UACGUAGGGGGCAAGCGUUGUCCGGAAUCACUGGGCGUAAAGCGCACGCAGGCGGACGCGCGCGUGGGGUGUGAAAUCUGGCCGCUUAACGGCCAGGCGCCAUCCCAUACGGCGGGUCUGGAGUGAUGCAGAGGUCGAUGGAAUUGCCGGUGUAGUGGUGAAAUGCGUAGAGAUCGGCAGGAACACCCAGGGGGAAACCAGUCGACUGGGCAUCUACUGACGCUGAGGUGCGAGAGCGUGGGGAGCGAACCGG